AUGUUAGGAUGCAUUCCUAACAAUGUUCGGCUCUGUCAUUCUUAUCACGGAAUACGGGGACCUCUGCCUCCUCUCUGUGCUGGAAGGACGCCCUGGGAGAUGGGGCCAGACUGCUCCAGCCUCCUUGGUCCUUACUGGAGGCCCUUGCACUCACCUAGUACUGAGAGAGCAGAAUCGCUCCCGGUUUCAGUUGGGCCUUCUGCGUCUGUUGCUGUUUUGAAGUUUUCCUGUUCUUGCCUCCAUUUCUUCCUUCUUCUUCUCAUCCUGAUGCUGAUACUGUGCACGUUUUGUGACUGUUGAUUUAUUUCUACUCACUUUUAUUUUGGGGUUCAUGGGGUUAUUCUGCCACCUACUUUUACUGUUAAAGGCUCCAAGGGGAGGCCACCUCAAAAUGGGUCACUUUGGCAUGAAGAUUAUUUUAAAUUAAACAGCAAUCAAGUCCAGCAUAUUCCGGAAAAGCUCUUUACCUCCCCCACAUCUACCUGAGAAGAACUGAGGUAGCCGACCCGCUCCACAGAGAGAUCUGUCACCGCGGAUAACUACAUUACACCAUGACCUAGGUCUGGCAGGCAGGGAGGAACCUAGCAAGGCCUGUUGGAUCAAAGUCCUCUGUGUCCCGUUGUUUCCCAGCGGCCCAGCACACGUGUGUUUACCAAACAUGGACUCUUCAUCUUCCCGUGAACUGCGUUCCUCCCUUUGAAGUCCCAGGCCCUACUCCUCCUGAGCUCAGGACUACUAUAUAUGUCAUUCUGCCGGACUGUCUUUGGAAUUUCCAUGUCUGUGUGGAUUCCCUGUAGGUUUGAAAUUAAAUUUGAUUUUCUCCUGUUAAUCUGUCUCAAGUCAAUUUGAUUCUUAGUCCAGCCAGAGGGACCUUGAAGGGGCCAGACGUUCUUCCUCCCCACGCGGUGAAUGUCCAUGAGGUUUUGGGUUGCUUUUUUUUUUUUAAGUGGAGGAGCCCAAUGCAGGGCUUGAACUCACGACCCUGAGAUCAAGACCUGAGCUGAGAUCAAGAGCUGGACACUUAACUGACUGAGCCACCCAGGCGCCCCUGCUUGUCUGGUUUCAGGUUAGGAUUCAGAGGUUGAAAAACUGCUGCUGCCACCCCUGCUGAAUCCCCUUCACUGCAGAUGCGUGCACUUUUCUGUACAGAUAUUUUAUUUUUUUAAUUUUUAUUUUAUUUAUUUUUAAAGAUUUUAUUUAUUUGAGAGAGAGAGCGCGCACAAGCAAGAGAGUACAGGCAGGGGGAACAGCAGAGGGAGAGGGAGGAGCAGACUUCCCACUGAGCAGGGAGCCUGAUGUG
rnacentral:lncRNA from 1 species